rnacentral:rRNA from 1 species
CGGCGGACGGGUGAGUAACGCGUGGGUAACCUGCCUCAUACAGGGGGAUAACAGUUAGAAAUGACUGCUAAUACCGCAUAAGACCACGGUACCGCAUGGUACAGUGGUGAAAACUCCGGUGGUAUGAGAUGGACCCGCGUCUGAUUAGGUAGUUGGUGGGGUAACGGCCUACCAAGCCGACGAUCAGUAGCCGACCUGAGAGGGUGAUCGGCCACAUUGGGACUGAGACACGGCCCAG